rnacentral:rRNA from 1 species
UGGUCAAGUUAUUAAGGGUGCAGGGCGGAUGCCUUGGCACUAGGAGCCGAUGAAGGACGUGAUAAGCUGCGAUAAGCUUCGGGGAGUUGCACGUAAACUUUGAUCCGAAGAUUUCCGAAUGAGGAAACUCACUUAGAGUAAUGUCUAAGUAUCAUUAAGUGAAUACAUAGCUUAAUGAGGGGAACUCAGGGAACUGAAACAUCUAAGUACCUGAAGGAAGAGAAAGAAAUUCGAUUCCGUAAGUAGCGGCGAGCGAACGCGGAUUAGCCCAAACCAAUAAAGUUUUCUUUAUUGGGGUUGCGGACAUAUCAUAACGAAGAGGUAUCGUAAUUGAAGAGGUUUGGAAAGACUCACCACAGAAGGUAAUAGUCCUGUAUGUUAAACGAGAAGACUUUAGAUAUGAUCCAGAGUACCACGGGACACGUGAAACCCUGUGGGAAGCAGGAGGG